GGUACGAAGAGGGGUUCUCUAUCUGGGAAACAUGGGAAGGAAGAGAGGACCCAGGCCCCGGGGUCCUGGCUGAAGAGACUUCAGCUCCAUGUCUGAGAAGGAGUUUGUAGGGGGGGGUCCCUGUAAGGGCAAAGCUACCCAACCACCUGGAGGGCCUCUGGCAGCUCAGAGCCAAGCUCAGAUGUUACAGCAGAGAAGGGGCAGACGAGGCUGCUGCCCUCUGGGAUGGGACCUGGGAAAGGUGUGCCGGGAGAAAGCCAGAAGGUGGUUCAUGAGCCAGAACAUCGGCCUGGCUUCCCUCACUGACAGAGACUCUCGUGGAACCAAGCUCUCUGUCUUGGACGACCUGAGCAAGGUGACCCCCCCCAAGGUCACCGUGUUUGAACCCUCCGAAGCAGAGAUCUCCCGCACCCACAAAGCUACCCUCGUGUGCCUGGCCACAGGCUUCUACCCCGACCACGUGGAGCUGAGCUGGUGGGUGAACGGGAAGGAGGUGGAGAGUGGGGUCAGCACGGACCCUCAGCCCUACAGGGAGCAGCCCGACCAGAGCGACUCCAGCUACUGCCUGAGCAGCCGGCUGCGGGUCUCCGCCGCCUUCUGGCGCAGCCCCCGCAACCACUUCCGCUGCCAAGUCCAGUUCUACGGGCUCACGGAGGAGGACCCGUGGCCGGAGGGCCGGGUCAAACCCGUCACCCAGAACAUCAGCGCCGGUGCCUGGGGCAAAGCAGACUGUGGCUUCAGCUCAGCGUCCUAUCAGCAGGGCGUCCUGUCUGCCACCCUCCUCUACGAGAUCCUGCUGGGCAAGGCCACCCUGUACGCUGUGCUGGUCAGCGCCCUGGUGCUGAUGGCCAUGGUCAAGAGAAAGGAUUCCUGAGACCAGCUCCAAAAAUGCAUCCUGAGUCAUUCCUAAGCCUCACCCUGGAUUUUUCUUCACAUGCUUCCACUCUGUGUUCGUAACAAAUUAUUCUCUCUCCCUCUCCAUUCUCCUUCCUACAUGGGUGUAUGUCCCUUCUCUCUGCUUCCCUUGAGCUCAUCGACCCUGAAUCUGAAAUAGACUAAAUCAAUAAACAUGUCAUGCUGGGCCUA